rnacentral:ncRNA from 1 species
CGAUCGAAAGGGCAAGUUCAUCAUGAGAUGAAUGCGCAAAACUAAAGGGCCUUGUGCUGUGUACAGCAGCCAGGGUAGCCAGUUACCGAA